GACGUAGGGCGCGAGCGUUGUCCGGAUUUAUUGGGCGUAAAGAGCUCGUAGGUGGUUUGUCGCGUUGUUCGUGAAAACUCACAGCUCAACUGUGGGCGUGCGGGCGAUACGGGCAGACUGGAGUACUGCAGGGGAGGCUGGAAUUCCUGGUGUAGCGGUGGAAUGCGCAGAUAUCAGGAGGAACACCGGUGGCGAAGGCGGGUCUCUGGGCAGUAACUGACGCUGAGGAGCGAAAGCGUGGGGAGCGAACAGG
rnacentral:rRNA from 1 species